CUGGUUCGAAAAGAGAUAUAGGUGGCUAAAGGUGCAGUUUUUCAUCCAAGGGCUUUUAAAUGGAUCUCGUGGUCCGGCCAAUGUUAAUUUCGUCACUUGGAGAGACGGUAGUAUCCCAACUAAAUUCAAAAUUGGCUCUUGUGCGGAGGGGAAUGCAGCUUCGUGACACUAAAUGGUAUAGAAUCGGGAAAAGGUUUAGUCAUAUCUUCGAUAUCUUGGAGUUUUUUCAAGCAAACGGGUCGACAAAGAAUUGUAAAACGGUUCUGGUGUUUGUGGCCAUGGCAACACUAUGGACCUUAUGGAGUGCUAGGAAUGCUCAGGUUUUCAAAGGAAGGUUUGAGCCGUGGUUCAAGAUGGGAGUUUGAGAUGCCCAAACUUUGUUGAAGUUUUUUCAAAUUUACGCUAAAGCUCACCCCUUGGCCCUUGCCAUUAUUACCACUAAUUGUUGACAUUGAUCUUGGUUCACAAGGUAUGGAAUGUCAACGAACUUGUGAGCACACACAUAUACUCCAAGAUCCAGUUUAGUUUUUGGCGAUACCCUACUAUGUCCAAGGUAACGUUUUUUUUUCUUCAGAAGAGUUAAGAAAAAUAAAAAAUAUAAAGAAAAAAAGUAUGGUUAGAGGUGGAAAAAUGCACGGGUUGGGAAACAGACCUAAAUUCAUAGUUUUAUAUAUGGUCUGAAACGGGUCACUCUGAAAUAUUUUUUUUAUAGACAAUUUGUUUCUUCCUAACUGUUUCUUCCUAAAGUUCCUUAAUAAAAGCUCAUUCUCGACCACCAUAUCUUAUACUUCAACUGCUCUAGGUCUUCUUUG